rnacentral:lncRNA from 1 species
AUGCUUGUAACUUUACAAAAUCAAGUGUAUUAAUGUAGGGUCAAGAGUAACAAAAACCGUAAUUGUCCAAUUUUUCAUCGCUAAAUUCCAAUAUAUCAAAUUGUCUUUUGGCAUCAUUUUUAAUUGCUCCUCAAAAUAUUCCUGCAAAAUAAAAUUAGUAAUUAGCAAGAAAUUAAAAGUGCAAUUCCAACUUCUAUUUCACUAAUCCUCUGAUUUGUACAUAGACAAUACUUAAAACUUUCAUCAGACAAUUUUCUAACUCAAUUUUACGAUCAGAAAAUAUUAGCCACUCUAAUUUAACUACCUAUCUUAGCAAAGAUAAUCAUGCAAGAUCUCUAUUCAUAUAAAAGUUGAGCUAAAUAAAGGACAGUGAGGAUAUUAAAAAUAUUUUGUGUAAUUGAAAGUGAGUAAAAAAGAUAUCUUAUUAGAAAGUGGAUAUGUUUAUUCACUUGACAUUCCUUUUCACUUCAUAAUUUUUGGGAUUACCAGAAAAAAACUCAUUUCGAAAUAUCUGAAAAAUUAGGAAGAAAAGAAACUCAUUGAUAGCUCACCAAGGCUUAAUUCUAUUAUGCAUCAUAACUAAAACUUGGAUCAGUUUGACAGAUCAAAAAAAACUAGCAGAUACUAAUACUUCAAGGAAUAAGAAAAGUGCUAUCAGUAAAAGACUUAACAAGGCAUGCUAUAGCAAGAAAAUAAAAACAGAUUAAUGUGAUUACCUUGCAAGUUCAAGAAAGCACCUCAAUCUUGCUUUUUCAGUUUAUGUUAAAGCCUUGGAUAUGAAAAAUUAAGAGAGAUAAGAAGGCACAAGGAAGUCUAACCUUAUUCAUAUCACAUCGAAACAAGCCUGUUGUCAUUACAGAUAUGCAAUAGAUAGUCAAAUUAUCUAUGUGUUCACGAAAGGAAGUUGCUAACAAAAUUUAAAGACAGUAAGUACUGCAAUCUAAUAGAAAGUCUGAUUCUAUAUCAAGCAAAAUAAAAAAGGAGAUAGCUCCAAUCUAAACCAAACUAGUAUGUGCUCACAUACAUUGUCUUUGAAAAAACAAGAUAAAUCUUCUCAUUGCAAGAUUACUAGAUAUCAAUAAAAAUGUCUUUCUUGACAUUAAACAUGUCACUCAAGAACAAACACCAAAUGAGGAAAGAACAUCAGAAAAUAUUAGGAUAUAAGAGAGACAUCAAUUGUAAUUAGUGCACCCCAUUAAUUUUAGCUAAAUAAUAUUAUUAUAUUAUCUAAAACAAAGCUUCUAAUGUCACUUUUAUAGUGUUAUUAUGAAUUUCUUCAAAAUAAAUAAGAUCGACUAAUAGAUAAAUAUCUUGUUCAUUCAUUCUAUUUGAACAAGUAUACAAAUGCAAGAAAUGCGGCUCUGAGAAUUUAGGAGAGAACUCAGAAGGAAGAGAGUACCUAGAUAAUUCACUGCCUUCUCUCUCCUGUUUGUUAGCAUUUAACCGUGAAGUUGAUGCUUGGAUAAUCUCACCCGUCCAUUCUAGUAAUAGUUACCCUCUCCUAACUAAUUAACCCUAUACUCGAAUUAGGCUAAGAUCUUCCCUUAAGAUAUUCUACAUGUACCAUUAGGUAAAAAUAAAAGAGAAAGGAAGAAAGGAACAAGCAUAAGAAUCAAACUGCAAAUUAACAAUUAAUUAGGGGUAAGGCUCAUCUACAUAUUACCCUCCCCAGACCCCACUUUGUGGGACUAUACUGGGUAGUUGUUGUUGUUGUUGUUGUUGUUUAUGUCAAAACUGUUAAUCAAGCAUUAAAUCAUGUCAUAAAAUAACAUCUAAGACAACCAUAUUAUGACAUAAUAAGCAAAGCUGAUGAAGACUGCUAGUUUUUCAUCUUUCCUACUAAUAAUUCUCAUAAUUAUUAUCCAUUGAAAAGGUCAAAUACAUAGAGAAAUUUUUCGGUACAAACAAUAUUAAAAAUGGGGCUAAUCUCUGAGUAGAAAGAAGUUCCAUUUUCCCCCUGUUCUGUGAAGGAACAAAAGAUGAACUCUAACACAUAUACCAGAAGAUACAAGUCAAAUUAAUUUAAACUUCAUAACCCUCCAUUUGAACAUCUUUGGAGUUCAAAGGUUCAUACACACCCAAAUAAACUAAUAACAACUUUUUUCCUCUCAAAAGUACUCUUUGUUUUAUUAUAUAUAUUGCAUGGCUUAUCUCUUUACUUCUUCCCUUCUAUUAGUUACUAAAAAUCAGCAUAACAAUGUCUAAUCAAGAAAAUGGUAGCUUACCAGAUUUUAUACUACCUGAUUCUUUAUACGCUGAGACCAUCAGAGAAAUUCAUUCACCAAUAGAGCAAAAUUGGGACUCUUUGAGACAAUCGGCACGUCAAACUGCAGCAGGAAGGGCACUAUGGAAACAAGUGAUCAAUGAUCCAUUAGCAGAGUUACUUGCAGGGGAGACAUACCUGAAGAAGUUGUAUGAGAAGAUUAAGAAAGACAUCCUCAACAGUGCUAGAGAGGUUUCUGGAGUUAUCAUUGCUGUUAGGACACUAUGGUUUGAUAAAAGAAUUGAAGCAGCUCUUAAUUCCUUUGAUGGUGGAGGAGCACAAGUUGUCAUUCUAGGAGCAGGUAAGUGAUGUUUCAACAUGAUCUCUUGUGCUGUAUAUACCUUGUGACAUUUUAGAUAUAGAGAUGUAUACUUCUCAGGACACUAUGGUUUGACAAAAGAAUUGAAGCAGCUCUUAAUUCCUUUGAUGGAGGAGCACAAAUUGUCAUUCUUGGAGCAGGUAAGUGAUGUUUCAACAUGAUCUCUUGCACCAUAUAUACCCUGUGACAUUUUAGAUGUGCACGUAUACUUCCUGCAACUCAAUACCAAUUGAAUAGUUCUCAUUUAGUAAUUAGUAGCCAGUGGCAGGGAGAAGAGGUGUCAUCCGACACAGCUUCACAUCAAAUUGGGACCUGAAGUAAAGCCUUGAAACAAUCGCAGUCCUAAAUCCAAAUAAACGUUUCAAGUCUGAAAUGUGACAAUACAUUGAUAUCGUUUAUGCAAAAUCCUGUAUACACCCUGUUAGUAGCCAGUCAUUUAACUAAUCAGUUGCCACUAACCCCAUCACAGGAAAUUAAUAUGUCAGUGAUUCAUAUACCAACUAAACGUUAACAAGAUGCAACAGAUUCCAGCUCCAAAUCCCCAAAUUACUAGACAUCAACUGGCGAUACACUAAUCUUAUCCGAUGAAAAAAAUGGUCUCCCAUUUAAUACAAUCCUUUCACUUAGGAGCAACUAUGACUAUGUUUAGAUAAAAGAAUUCUAGAAAAAACAAAUAUCGACUAGGUAAUUUGAUACGUCCAUUUAAAAUUUGAUGAACAGAAUGUUAUUUAGUUCCUUUGAGUUAUGGCCUCAAUAUGGAGAUUGAACACUGAAUAGACAUAAAUUGUCCACCACAAGAGGGUAUGCAUGUUUCACCUAGUAUUUUCAUUGCUCACUCCUUGGAAGCUAUUCUAUUUCAUUUAGAGAAAAUGUUAUAGAGCAAACCAGUAUUGUCUGUACUAUCUCUCGCACUCAAAUGCAAUGGAAGUACUGAAGAUUAUCGCAAAUAACUAUACCUUUGAUCAUACAGUACUCUUAGCGGACUUCAUGAACAAGUAAUCAACCACAAUGUCCAGCUCAAAUUUCCAUUUCUAUAGCGACUAUCCUGAUCAGUUAUUGCCAUCACUAGGAUUUUCUGAUUUUAAACUUUCUCAAAUUGGUGACCCAGAUGCUCAUUUUGGGCUGUUGCAUAACCCAUUAAAUUUGUUCAACAAGUUGCGCAACUUGCCCAGGUCACUUCAAACUCACCCAGAUGAUGGAACACCAUGUUGUAGGUUGUACCUGCUUCAAGCCUCUGGAGAGCCACCAAAUCAAACUAUUUUCUGAAUAUUAUAAGAAUAGUUCACCAAUAAAGUCUAACAUACUGUUAAGAUUAGAAGCACUCCUCAUUGAUUGUAACUGUCAUCUUACCAAUUAGCUAUACAUGUGACUAUGUUAUUUAACCUGUGACUAGUAGACUUUUUAUGUUUUCAAGAUCUAGGUAAUACUUAGAAAGGCUUCAUGAUAUCAUGUUUCAAGCACCUUCUUUCCCCUCUUUUAGCUAGCACUGAAUAAGUUAACCAAAAUUACAUUCUAGGCACGAGCAGCAAACCAAUGAACAAAAUUAGUGAUCGGAAAGUUUCGGGAUGGUAAAAUUUUAUGCUAUUAAUAGAUACAACGAGUGAAGAGGAAACAAACCUAUAAGUUGCAACUCGAUUUCACCGAACGAGUUCACCUGCGAAAGAGAUGGCACAAAGCAAGUUCUCUAGUUGAGAAAAUUAUUUGAAAUUAGGGCAAACUGAUCCCUAAAUAGGAUCUAUAUUUGGAGUUGAUACAACCCAUUAGAGGAAUUUGUGUCGGGUGGCGAUGAAGCAGCGGUGAAGGAGCAGAGGGAAUUUCAGAAAGGGUGAAAUAUUUUAGUGGUGAAAAAUUUGAAAUUGGGCAGAAUAUUUCAGCGGGUAUUCCUUUUGUCAGAGAAAAUUUUAAUAGUACGUUUUAGAGUACAC